AAGGUGGGACGAUCUGCCGCGCCGCUUUCGAGCGGUGAGGAAAGUCCGGACAGGAAAGGGCGCCGCGCUGCGGAAAGCGCAGAUGGGAGUAAUCUUAUGGGUGCCGUAACAGAAAAGAACCGCCGGAAACGGUAAGGGUGAAAACGUGGGGCAAGAGCCCACGACCGGUGUCAGCGAUGCCGCCGGGGUACGGUCCCGGGGCCUGCAAGACCAAAUAUACUGGCACAAGGGGACGGCCCGUCCCCGCCAGGGGGUAGGUUGCGAAGAUAAAUGGCAGAUUUAAAAACAGAAACCGGCUUACGGUCCCACCUUUUUU
rnacentral:RNase_P_RNA from 1 species